GACGAACGCUGGCGGCGUGCUUAACACAUGCAAGUCGAGCGGUAAGGCCCUUUCGGGGUACGACGAGCGGCGAACGGGUGAGUAACACGUGGGUGACCUGCCCUCAGCUCUGGGAGUAAGACCUGGGAAACCGGGUACUAAUACCGGAUAUGACUCCAUGACGCAUGUUGUGGGGUGGAAAGCCUUGUGCGGCUGAGGAUGGGCCCGCGGCCUAUCAGCUUGUUGGUGGGGUGAUGGCCUACCAAGGCGACGACGGGUAGCCGGCCUGAGAGGGCGACCGGCCACACUGGGACUGAGACACGGCCCAGACUCCUACGGGAGGCAGCAGUGGGGAAUCUUGCGCAAUGGGCGAAAGCCUGACGCAGCGACGCCGCGUGAGGGAUGACGGCCU
rnacentral:rRNA from 1 species